rnacentral:misc_RNA from 1 species
AACCUAGCACACCUGCGGUGUGUACCUGCGGAAGGAUCAUUACCGAGUUUACAACUCCCAAACCCCUGUGAACAUACCUAUACGUUGCCUCGGCGGAUCAGCCCGCGCCCUGUAAAACGGGACGGCCCGCCCGAGGACCCUAAACUCUGUUUUUAGUGGAACUUCUGAGUAAAACAAACAAAUAAAUCAAAACUUUCAACAAUGGAUCU